rnacentral:rRNA from 1 species
AACUCGACUCCAUGAAGCUGGAUUCGCUAGUAAUCGCGCAUCAGCCAUGGCGCGGUGAAUACGUUCCCGGGCCUUGUACACACCGCCCGUCAAGCCAUGGGAGUCGGGAGUGCCUGAAGUUCGUGACCGUCACAGGAGCGACCUAAGGCAAGACCGAUGACUGGGGCUAAGUCGUAACAAGGUAAC